rnacentral:rRNA from 1 species
CCUACGGGAGUCUGCAGUGGGGAAUUUUGCGCAAUGCUCGUAAGAGUGACGCAGCGACGCCGCGUGAAUGACGAAGGCCUUCGGGUCGUAAAGUUCUUUCGACAGGGAAGAAAAUGCCUAUAAGUAACUGUGUAUGUAUUGACGGUACCUGUAUAAGCAGCCCCGGCUAACUCCGUGCCAGCAGCCGCGGUAAUACGGAGGGGGCGAGCGUUGUUCGGAGUGACUGGGCGUAAAGAGCACGUAGGCGGUGUUGUAAGUCAUUAGUCAAAUACUAGAGCUCAACUUUAGUAAGGCUAGUGAUACUAUAAUACGAGAGUAUCAGAGAGGAUUGCAGAAUUCCUGGUGUAGCGGUGAAAUGCGUAGAUAUCAGGAGGAAUACCGUUAGCGAAGGCGGCAAUCUGGCUGGAAACUGACGCUGAGGUGCGAAAGCGUGGGUAGCAAACAGGAUUAGAUACCCGUGUAGUC